GCUAGUAAUGGCAGGUCAGCAUACUGCCGUGAAUACGUUCCCGGGCCCUUGUACACACCGCCCGUCACACCAUGAGAGUUGGAAAUACCCGAAGCCUGUGAGCUAACUUAAAGAGGCAGCAGUCGAAGGUAGAGCCAAUGAUUGGGGUGAAGUCGUAACAAGGUAGC
rnacentral:rRNA from 1 species